UACAGAGGGUGCGAGCGUUAAUCGGAAUUACUGGGCGUAAAGGGCGCGUAGGCGGAUCAUUAAGUUAGGUGUGAAAUCUCUGGGCUUAACCUGGAAAUGGCACUUAAGACUGUUGAUCUAGAGUAGAGGAGAGGGAAGUGGAAUUUCCGGUGUAGCAGUGAAAUGCGUAGAUAUCGGAAAGAACACCAGUGGCGAAGGCGGCUUCCUGGACUCAUACUGACGCUGAGGCGCGAAAGCGUGGGGAGCAAACAGG
rnacentral:rRNA from 1 species